UACGGGGGGGGGCAAGCGUUGUUCGGAAUUACUGGGCGUAAAGGGCUCGUAGGCGGCCAACUAAGUCAGACGUGAAAAUCCCCUCGGCUUAACCGGGGGAACUGCGUCUGAUACUGGAUGGCUUGAGUUUGGGAGAGGGAUGCGGAAUUCCAGGUGUAGCGGUGAAAUGCGUAGAUAUCUGGAGGAACACCGGUGGCGAAGGCGGCAUCCUGGGACCGGCAUUGACGCUGAGGCGCGAAAGCCAGGGGAGCAAACGGGG
rnacentral:rRNA from 1 species